rnacentral:rRNA from 1 species
UGCAGUCUGAGUAAACUUAAUUAAUAAAUUAAAACUUUUAACAACGGAUCUCUUGGUUCUGGCAUCGAUGAAGAACGCAGCGAAAUGCGAUAAGUAAUGUGAAUUGCAGAAUUCAGUGAAUCAUCGAAUCUUUGAACGCACAUUGCGCCCCCUGGUAUUCCGGGGGGCAUGCCUGUUCGAGCGUCAUU